rnacentral:tRNA from 1 species
GCCAGUCUGGUGGAUAUAACCUUCGGCUUGUAACCGAGUGGUUUUGGGUUCGAAUUCCGAGUAAGGCA